AAGUUGUAUGGAAUCAUGAUUGUUGAGUAAAGGCGGCUGAGGAGAAUAAGGUUCGCUGGUUUCAGAGCCAAGGGACAUGGAGAGUGUGUGAUCUAAAUUCGAAGAGUAGAAUGUCUAUGUUUUCUUAAACCUCUUAAUCUUUUUGUGUUGAGAUGACUGGUGGUGCAUGAUGCAAAGAUACAGUAUCAGAGGAAUGGUUCUUUGUGUCUCAAGCUUAUGGCCAUAGAACCUGUGUGUAAAGCUCACGAAUAGUGGUCAUUCUGCUUCGGAAGGGAAAAGCUCUAGGUUCUGGUCUGCCUGUGUGUUUCACACAACCGAGAUGGAGCUGACCUGAUCUGGAGUCUGGACACCCCAUUUCAGCAGACCUGAUCAUUUGAGCCUACUGAGGAAAUGUAACAGCUGUUCAUCACAGGUCACUUGGCUGCACGCGUGGAGUGCUUCUUGCUGCAAAAUUAGGACUUGCAUGGCAACAUAUCUCCUCAGUCCAAAGCAUUACCAUGGUGGCAAUGCAGACAAAAGAGAGGGCAGCUAUUGUAUCCAGCAGCUGCUUUGUAUGCUUCGUAUCCAGCAGCAGCUGCAGAGAAAAGGAUGGUGCUGGGCAUGCAUGGGCAUAUAAUCCAACUAAGUUACAUGCUGGCCCUGCUCUGUAAGUAGUAACUGCUUAAUCCCUUAGUGAUUAGAUUGACGUAUUGAUUUGCCUCUCCUUAAGAGGCUGGUAUUAUGCUAUGAGUUGGCCGAGCAAUUUUGCAGUAUUAUGCUUCGUCUUCUUCACCAAGGAGAUUGUCUGUAAAGGUUUUAACUUUUGCAUGGCGAGUGAAUGGAAAUCUGAAGCCUAGCCUUUUGCGUACCUGAAACGGCUUGAUCUGGGCUGCAUUCAUGCCCCCGUGCAGCAUGCAAGAUUGGAAGAAUAUGUGUCAAAGGGUGGCAUGCUGAACCCCUUUCGGACUGAGAAUACGUUUCACUUGUUGGCAGGGUGCCUCGGAAGAGGGAAUUGGAUAUGUUCUCUAGGGUCCAUGCUAAAUGCUAAAACAUCAGUAUUUAUUAGGUCAUGUGUGAUGCUUGCUACUUAUGGCUUGUUGCAUGUGAAAACCCACAUCAGUAAAUAUUUAUUAGGUCAAGCCUGAUGCUUGCAAGAUGCUGGCCUUGCAGAAUGGAGGCCCACAUUGUCUUUACUGUCUGAAAUACGAGACUGGAUGCCUGAGAACACAGAGCUCGUAAAAUGUGCGUAUCAGCCAAUAGGCUUCGUGGCCGUGCCUGUAAGAUGCUCUGAAGGACGUGCUUCCUGAAAAGUCAGAACUGCAAAGGUGCGCAAACCAAAACUAUGAUUGAAUGCUUCCACGCUUCAGAGUUCCCAGACUCUUGCAUCUACUUCAUAGUCUAUUAUUUAGAUUGUCAAUUAGCAUAUCAGUUUGAUGUAUCUGAUCAGAGAGUGAUCUCCCAACAUGUUCCUAAUGACAUCCUAAUCCGUGGUUCAGAAAAGAACACGCUAAAAAUGCUGUACUUGGAACAAGAACAUGCAGGUCUUCAGAAGUACUUUGCAAUAUGAUUUAUAGUUCACUGGAGUAUGGGGAUAACAAGAUGUGGGCUAAGAACAUCCAUUCUUUUUCACCGUAUAUCUCUUCGCAAUCUCAGCCAUCUGGUGUACAAUUCAUAGAACAUAUUCUUAAGGAGAUAAGCAGACGCUUGUUCGUGGAAUUAUCAUACUGUCUCGUGCAAGAAGAUUUGAUUUGCUGCCACUUGACCUGUCCAGAGGCUACCAUUUCUUCAUUCAGAUGGACUAGCGUGGAAGGCUUGCAUCCAUCGGAUCGGUCUUGAUUCUUGCGGCAUGGAUCAAGCCAUCAGGAGAUCGCUCCCAUGGAAUAAUAUCUUCACAAAAGGCCAUCGGAAAGAUGCAGGAUUCCCAUUGAUAUUUUGAACCAUACGGGCAAGGCUUUCAGGGAGAUGCUGGGUAGUGAAAUGGAGGCUUCUUCCAUGCACUCUACGAGCGUGUCUGAAAAUUUAAGGCUAUUGUUGGUAUGUACACCUUCACAUAUGGGCUGUUACGACAUAUCGAUUGUGACAAGAUACUUCAAAUCUUGAAUCUGUAUUUGCAUGCUGUCCUGUAAAAUUGGAGAUUCUGGAUCAAGUAUACUGUGUUAUUUUCAAAUGAAAAGGGGGAAUUGUAUUGGAACGAGAAGAAUAUUGGUUUUCAAAAGAAGAAUAUAUUAUUCCAAAGCUUUUUGUGUACAGAGAUGUUUUGAUUGGUUCCUGCAAUUCUUCUGACGUUGAAGUUUCAGAGCACGCACUGGCUGUGACUCUGGAGUGCAAUGAGCAGUUUUGUGCAAACGUGCAAGCGGCAGCUACGGCAUGCUCGAUGCACAUCCGAUGGCGAGUCGUCAUUAUUCACUUAACCCCUCCCACGUGGUAACGUUGGAUAGAAAAACAAAUGCUAAUAACCCCUGGAAAACGAGAAAUCUUACCGAUCAUGCCUCCUCUCUCGGCAGAAAGAUCGCGCUAUCAGCGCCUGCUUCUGCGCCGUCGCGGUUUGGUGGCCAUCGCCGUCGUUCGACGGGGUGAUCUGCGGCGUCGGCGUCGUCCAACUCGUCGCCCUCUUCCUUGCCGACGCAAGUGAUUUGUGUCUUUCCGACGAGAGACGAGCCUCACUAAUUGCUGCAUCUUCGGCCAUCACCAUCUCAGCGUACGUGCAUCUUGUCCUUGCGUCUAGCGUCUUGGGUGAAAGAAGAUCCGUACGUCGUAUGGUUUUUAAUUAGGAGCAUGAGUUGUCAUCAAUGCUAAAUCUUGAUCGUUACAGCAGGAUAGGUAGUAUUAAAUUAAUGGAUGAAGUUGAAGAGUUUUGUGCAAAAGGUGAGAUUAAUGUAAUCCAGGGCACCAGUUUCAGUCCAGGCACCAAUGCGACCGGCAUGGACGAGAGAAUCGAAGUACCUUGCGAUAAUUUAGAUGAUGUCAGAGACGGUUAUAAGGAUGAUGGAUUUAGAACGCCAACGAAGAAAGCGAGUGUCCCUAAGGUAGGGAUGCUAUUCGAUGAUGUGGAAUCAGUACAGGAGUUUUACAUGAACUAUGCACAUGACAUCGGAUUUUCUGUUCGUAUCGGUCAACAAAAACUGGAUGACAAUGGAGUGGUUCUGUGGAAGCGGUUCUUAUGCGCAAGGCAAGGAUAUAGAAAACAACAAACUACCGCACCUGUGGAUCGAACCAAGAAGAAUAAGAAGGCGCAAAAUACUAGAGAAACUAGAUGUGGAUGUGAAGCUUACAUGUAUUUUAAGCGCAAUAGUGAAGGCAAAUACAAGA